rnacentral:rRNA from 1 species
UACGGGGGGAGCAAGCGUUGUUCGGAUUUACUGGGCGUAAAGGGCGCGUAGGCGGCCACAACAAGUCACUUGUGAAAUCUCCGGGCUUAACUCGGAACGGUCAAGUGAUACUGUUGGGCUAGAGUGCGGAAGGGGCAACUGGAAUUCUCGGUGUAGCGGUGAAAUGCGUAGAUAUCGAGAGGAACACCUGCGGCGAAGGCGGGUUGCUGGGCCGACACUGACGCUGAGGCGCGAAAGCUAGGGGAGCAAACGGG